rnacentral:rRNA from 1 species
AUUGAACGCUGGCGGCAUGCCUUACACAUGCAAGUCGAACGGCAGCACGGGAGCAAUCCUGGUGGCGAGUGGCGAACGGGUGAGUAAUAUAUCGGAACGUGCCCAGUCGUGGGGAUAACGUAGCGAAAGCUACGCUAAUACCGCAUACGAUCUAUGGAUGAAAGCGGGGAAUCGCAAGACCUCGCGCGAUUGGAGCGGCCGAUAUCGGAUUAGGUAGUUGGUGAGGUAAAGGCUCACCAAGCCGACGAUCUGUAGCUGGUCUGAGAGGACGACCAGCCACACUGGGACUGAGACACGGCCCAGACCUCCUACGGGAGGCAGCAGUGGGGAAUUUUUGGAACAAGUGGGCGCAAGCCUGAUCCAGCAAUGCCGCGUGCAGGAUGAA